rnacentral:rRNA from 1 species
UACAGAGGUCUCAAGCGUUGUUCGGAUUCAUUGGGCGUAAAGGGUGCGUAGGCGGCCAGAUAAGUCCGGUGUGAAAGUCACAGGCUCAACCUGUGAAUGCCGCUGGAAACUGUCUGGCUAGAGUCCGGAAGGGGCGAGUGGAAUUCCUGGUGUAGCGGUGAAAUGCGCAGAUAUCAGGAGGAACACCAAUAGCGAAGGCAGCUCGCUGGGACGGUACUGACGCUGAGGCGCGAAAGCGUGGGGAGCAAACAGG